rnacentral:rRNA from 1 species
AGUGAACGCUGGCGGUAGGCCUAACACAUGCAAGUCGAACGGCAGCACAGUAAGAGCUUGCUCUUACGGGUGCCGAGUGGCGGACGGGUGAGGAAUACAUCGGAAUCUACUCUUUCGUGGGGGAUAACGUAGGGAAACUUACGCUAAUACCGCAUACGACCUACGGGUGAAAGCAGGGGAUAUUCGGACCUUGUGCGAUUGAAUGAGCCGAUGUCGGAUUAGCUAGUUGGCGGGGUAAAGGCCCACCAAGGCGACGAUCCGUAGCUGGUCUGAGAGGAUGAUCGGCCACACUGGAACUGAGACACGGUCCAGACUCCUACGGGAGGCAGCAGUGGGGAAUAUUGGACAAUGGGCGCAAGCCUGAUCCAGCCAUACCGCGUGGGUUAAGAAGGCCUUCGGGUUGUAAAGCCCUUUUGUUGGGAAAGAAAAGCAGCAGGUUAAUACCCCGCUGUUCUGACGGUACCCAAAGAAUAAGCACCGGCUAACUUCGUG